rnacentral:rRNA from 1 species
CCUACGGGAGGCAGCAGUGAGGAAUAUUGGUCAAUGGGCGAGAGCCUGAACCAGCCAAGUCGCGUGAAGGAUGACGGCCCUACGGGUUGUAAACUUCUUUUGUCAGGGAGCAAUUGAGUCCACGUGUGGGCUUAGCGAGAGUACCUGAAGAAAAAGCAUCGGCUAACUCCGUGCCAGCAGCCGCGGUAAUACGGAGGAUGCGAGCGUUAUCCGGAUUUAUGGGGUGUAAAGGGAGCGUAGACGGCCAUGCAAGCCAGGGGUGAAAGCCCGGGGCCCAACCCCGGGACUGCCCUUGGAACUGUGCGGCUAGAGUGCGGGAGGGGCAGGCGGAAUUGCUGGUGUAGCGGUGAAAUGCGUAGAUAUCAGGAGGAACACCGGCGGCGAAGGCGGCCUGCUGGACUGCGACUGACGUUGAGGCUCGAAAGCGUGGGGAGCGAACAGGAUUAGAUACCCUUGUAGUC